rnacentral:rRNA from 1 species
CAACCCUAGCCCCAAGUUCCCCCGAUCCUACUAUUAAACAACAUCAACCAAACCAUUUAUACACAUAAAGUAUAGGCGAUAGAAAUUAUUAAUAUGGCGCAAUAGAUACAGUACCGCAAGGGAAAGACAAAAACACAACCAAGCACAAAACAGCAAGGAUAAGCUCCUGUACCUUCUGCAUAAUGAAUUAACUAGACACAACUUAGCAAGGAGACCCAAAGCUAAGACCCCCGAAACCAGACGAGCUACCUAAGAACCGCUGAAAGAGCACACCCGGUCUAUGUAGCAAAAUAGUGGGAAGAUUCAUAGGUAGAGGUGACAAGCCUACCGAGCCUGGCGAUAGCUGGUUGUCCAAGAUAGAAUCUUAGUUCAACUUUAAAUUUACCCAUAGAACCCCCAAAUCUUCCUGUAAAUUUAACUGUUAGUCUAAAGAGGAACAGCUCUUCAGACACUAGGAAAAAACCUUGUAAAGAGAGUAAAAGACACAAAACCCAUAGUUGGCCUAAAAGCAGCCACCAAUUAAGAAAGCGUUCAAGCUCAACAUCAUCCACCUAACAAAUCCCAAACACACAACUGAACUCCUUUCACCACAUUGGACCAAUCUAUCAUUCCAUAGAAGAAAUAAUGUUAAUAUAAGUAACAUGAAAAAGAUUCUCCUCCGCAUAAGCCUAUAUCAGACCAAAAUACUUCGCUGAUAGUUAACAGCCCAAUAUCCAAAACCAACUGAUAAACCAUUAUUACCUACACUGUUAACCCAACAUAGGUAUGCCUGCAAGGAAAGGUUAAAAGAAGUAAAAGGAACUCGGCAAA